UACGAGGGGGGCAAGCGUUGUUCGGAAUUAUUGGGCGUAAAGGGUGCGUAGGCGGUUUGGUAAGUCUUAUGUGAAAUCUACAGGCUCAACUUGUAGUCUGCAUGAGAAACUGCCGGGCUUGAGUAUGGGAGAGGUGAGUGGAAUUCCUGGUGUAGCGGUGAAAUGCGUAGAUAUCAGGAGGAACACCUGUGGCGAAGGCGGUUCUCUGGGACGGUACUGACGCUGAGACGCGAAAGCGUGGGGAGCGAACAGG
rnacentral:rRNA from 1 species